rnacentral:rRNA from 1 species
GAUGAACGCUGGCGGCGUGCCUAAUACAUGCAAGUCGAGCGAACAGAUGAGGAGCUUGCUCCUCUGACGUUAGCGGCGGACGGGUGAGUAACACGUGGAUAACCUACCUAUAAGACUGGGAUAACUUCGGGAAACCGGAGCUAAUACCGGAUAAUAUAUUGAACCGCAUGGUUCAAUAGUGAAAGACGGUUUUGCUGUCACUUAUAGAUGGAUCCGCGCCGCAUUAGCUAGUUAGUAAGGUAACGGCUUACCAAGGCAACGAUGCGUAGCCGACCUGAGAGGGUGAUCGGCCACACUGGAACUGAGACACGGUCCAGACUCCUACGGGAGGCAGCAGUAGGGAAUCUUCCGCAAUGGGCGAAAGCUUGACGGAGCAACGCCGCGUGAGUGAUGAAGGUCUUCGGAUCGUAAAACUCUGUUAUUAGGGAAGAACAAAUGUGUAAGUAACUAUGCACGUCUUGACGGUACCUAAUCAGAAAGCCACGGCUAACUACGUG